rnacentral:rRNA from 1 species
GAUGAACGCUGGCGGUAUGCCUAACACAUGCAAGUCGUACGAGAGUUUUUAACUCAAGUGGCGGACGGGUGAGUAACACGUGAGAAUUUACCUUUAGGAGGGGGACAACAACUGGAAACGGUUGCUAAUACCCCAUAUGCUUUCGAGUCAAAUGAAUUUAUUCGCCUAAAGAGAAGCUCGCGGCUGAUUAGCUUGUUGGUAGAGUAAGAGCCUACCAAGGCGACGAUCAGUAUCUGGUUUGAGAGGACGAUCAGACACACUGGAACUGAGACACGGUCCAGACUCCUACGGGAGGCAGCAGUGGGGAAUUUUCCGCAAUGGGCGAAAGCCUGACGGAGCAAUACCGCGUGAGGGAAGACGGCCUAUGGGUUGUAAACCUCUUUUUUCAGGGAGGAAUCAUUGACGUGUACCUGAAGAAUAAGCAUCGGCUAACUCCGUGCCAGCAGCCGCGGUAAGACGGAGGAUGCAAGUGUUAUCCGGAAUCACUGGGCGUAAAGCGUCUGUAGGUGGUUAAGCAAGUCAACUGUUAAAUCUUGAGGCUCAACUUCAAAAUCGCAGUCGAAACUGCUUGACUAGAGUAUAGUAGGGGUAAAGGGAAUUUCCAGUGGAGCGGUGAAAUGCGUAGAUAUUGGAAAGAACACCGAUGGCGAAGGCACUUUACUGGGCUAUUACUGACACUCAGAGACGAAAGCUAGGGUAGCAAAUGGGAUUAGAUACCCCAGUAGUCCUAGCCGUAAACAAUGGAUACUAGAUGUUGAACAGAUCGACCUGUGCAGUAUCAAAGCUAACGCGUUAAGUAUCCCGCCUGGGAAGUAUGCUCGCAAGAGUG